rnacentral:rRNA from 1 species
UACGUAGGGUGCGAGCGUUGUCCGGAAUUACUGGGCGUAAAGAGCUCGUAGGCGGUUUGUCGCGUCGUCCGUGAAAACUUGGGGCUCAACCCCAAGCUUGCGGGCGAUACGGGCAGACUAGAGUGAUGUAGGGGAGACUGGAAUUCCUGGUGUAGCGGUGAAAUGCGCAGAUAUCAGGAGGAACACCAAGUGGCGAAGGCAGGCACUCGUGGGCCGGUACUGACGCUGAGGAGCGAAAGCAUGGGGAGCGAACAGG